rnacentral:rRNA from 1 species
UACGUAGGGGGCAAGCGUUGUCCGGAAUCAUUGGGCGUAAAGAGCGUGUAGGCGGCCUGAUAAGUCGGCUGUGAAAGUCAAGGGCUCAACCCUUGAAUGCCGGCCGAUACUGUCAGGCUAGAGUCCGGAAGAGGCGAGUGGAAUUCCUGGUGUAGCGGUGAAAUGCGCAGAUAUCAGGAGGAACACCGAUGGCGAAGGCAGCUCGCUGGGACGGUACUGACGCUGAGGCGCGAAAGCGUGGGGAGCGAACAGG